CAACCUUCAUAUGACCAUGGGUAACUUCCCCAACUAUGCCAUUUUAUUCUGGCUAGUAUGUAUGCUCUCAGCUGUUUUUAUGCCAUGUUCAAAUUUAUAUGCUUGGUUCAGUAUGUUGCAAGUACAUUCAUGUUCUGUUAUUCAUUGGGUUUAUUUAAUAGUCUUGUGGUCAAUCUCCCCUCCCCCCUUGGUUGACAUAAAUAGCAAAACUCUUAUUAAAUAACUUGAAUAGAUAUUGUCUCUGUUGAACCCUUAAGCACACUUCAAAAUAAUUAUGUUCUAGUCUUGGAGCACACCUUGUUAAGCGUGUUGUUCAAUUAGGCAUCAAGUUGUUUCAUAGUUGUUAAAGGUGUGCCUUAAGUGCGUGGGGCUCAGCCCCUUGUACCACUUUUAGUAAAAGGUUGGCAACAUAAAUGAGGAGCUUGCCCAAUAGUAGAGAUGUGCACCUUAUUGUAAAUGAGGCGCUUGCUUUAUUGUAAUAGGUGCAUGCUUCUGUGGUAUUCAUUCGCAUGCUUCUGUGGUAUCAUUCUAUAGCAUUGUAAGCGGCCUUGCCAUUUGGUUGUCUACAACAAAUCAAAUUAAAACAACUGAAAGAAAGAAAGAAAGGAAGAA
rnacentral:misc_RNA from 1 species